rnacentral:tRNA from 1 species
GGGCGGGUGGCGGAACGGUAGACGCGCUGGACUCAAAAUCCAGUGGGAGCAAUCCCAUGGAGGUUCGAUUCCUCUCCCGCCCA